rnacentral:rRNA from 1 species
UUGGAGGGCAAGUCUGGUGCCAGCAGCCGCGGUAAUUCCAGCUCCAAUAGCGUAUAUUAAAGUUGUUGCAGUUAAAAAGCUCGUAGUUGAAUUUCGGGGUCAGUAGGUUGGUCGUGCCUAUGGUAUGUACUGGCUUUACUGAUUCCUCCUUCUUGAAGAACUGUAAUGUCAUUAAUUUGGUGUUGCAGGGAAACAGGACUGUUACUUUGAAAAAAUUAGAGUGUUUAAAGCAGGCUAACGCUUGAAUACAUUAGCAUGGAAUAGUGAAAUAGGACGUUUGAUCCUAUUUUGUUGGUUUCUAGGAUUGACGUAAUGAUUAAUAGGGAUAGUUGGGGGCAUUAGUAUUCAAUUGUCAGAGGUGAAAUUCUUGGAUUUAUUGAAGACUAACUACUGCGAAAGCAUUUGCCAAGGAUGUUUUCAUUAAUCAAGAACGAAAGUUAGGGGAUCGAAGACGAUCAGAUACCGUCGUAGUCUUAACCAUAAACUAUGCCGACUAGGGAUCGGAUGAUGUUAAUUUUUUAAUGACUCAUUCGGCGCCUUACGGGAAAC